AACGCACGAGACCUGCGGACCUGCGGAGGGAUCAUUACCGAGUACCGGGUCUCUCAGGCCCUUACUCCCACCCAAUGUGUACCUUACCACUUAUUCGUUGCUUUGGCGGGCGUCCACCCUAGGCCUCACGGCCUACGGGCGGCCCCGCCAGAGGGACACCUUUAAACUCUUGUCAACUGUGUUGUCUGAGAAAAAAACAAAUAAAUUAAAACUUUUAACAACGGAUCUCUAGAUCGGAAG
rnacentral:misc_RNA from 1 species